UACGUAGGGGGCAAGCGUUGUCCGGAUUUAUUGGGCGUAAAGAGCGUGUAGGCGGUCCGGUAAGUCCGCUGUGAAAGUCGGGGGCUCAACCCUCGAAUGCCGGUGGAUACUGUCGGGCUAGAGUGCGGAAGAGGCGAGUGGAAUUCCUGGUGUAGCGGCGAAAUGCGCAGAUAUCAGGAGGAACACCUAUUGCGAAGGCAGCUCGCUGGGACGUAACUGACGCUGAGACGCGAAAGCGUGGGGAGCAAACAGG
rnacentral:rRNA from 1 species